AACGAACGCUGGCGGCAUGCCUAACACAUGCAAGUCGAACGAGACCUUCGGGUCUAGUGGCGCACGGGUGCGUAACGCGUGGGAACCUGCCCUUAGGUUCGGAAUAACUCCCCGAAAGGGGUGCUAAUACCGGAUAAUGUCUUCGGACCAAAGAUUUAUCGCCUUUGGAUGGGCCCGCGUUGGAUUAGCUAGUUGGUAGGGUAAAAGCCUACCGAGGCGACGAUCCAUAGCUGGUCUGAGAGGAUGAUCAGCCACACUGGGACUGAGACACGGCCCAGACUCCUACGGGAAGCAGCAGUGGGGAAUAUUGGACAAUGGGCGAAAGCCUGAUCCAGCAAUGCCGCGUGAGUGAUGAAGGCCUUAGGGUUGUAAAGCUCUUUUACCCGGGAUGAUAAUGACAGUACCGGGAGAAUAAGCUCCGGCUAACUCCGUG
rnacentral:rRNA from 1 species